rnacentral:rRNA from 1 species
CCAAUAGCGUAUAUUAAAGUUGUUGCAGUUAAAAAGCUCGUAGUUGAAUUUCGGGAUCAAUAUAUUGGUCAUGCUUAGGUAUGUACUGGUAUUAUUGAUUUCCCCCUUCUGAAGAACCUUGAUGUCAUUAAUUUGGUGUCUUGGGGAAUCAGGACUGUUACUUUGAAAAAAUUAGAGUGUUUAAAGCAGGCUUUCGCUUGAAUACAUUAGCAUGGAAUAAUGAAAUAGGACGUUUGAUUCUAUUUUGUUGGUUUCUAGGAUCGACGUAAUGAUUAAUAGGGAUAGUUGGGGGCAUUAGUAUUCAAUUGUCAGAGGUGAAAUUCUUGGAUUUAUUGAAGACUAACUACUGCGAAAGCAUUUGCCAAGGAUGUUUUCAUUAAUCAAGAACGAAAGUUAGGGGAUCGAAGACGAUCAGAUACCGUCGUAGUCUUAACCAUAAACUAUGCCGACUAGGGAUCGGAUGAUGUUAAUUUUUUAAUGACUCAUUCGGCGCCUUACG